GAUGAAUGCUGGCGGCGUGCCUAAUACAUGCAAGUCGAGCGAACAGACGAGGAGCUUGCUCCUCUGACGUUAGCGGCGGACGGGUGAGUAACACGUGGAUAACCUACCUAUAAGACUGGGAUAACUUCGGGAAACCGGAGCUAAUAACGGAUAAUAUAUUGAACCGCAUGGUUCAAUAGUGAAAGACGGUUUUGCUGUCACUUAUAGAUGGAUCCGCGCCGCAUUAGCUAGUUGGUAAGGUAACGGCUUACCAAGGCAACGAUGCGUAGCCGACCUGAGAGGGUGAUCGGCCACACUGGAACUGAGACACGGUCCAGACUCCUACGGGAGGCAGCAGUAGGGAAUCUUCCGCAAUGGGCGAAAGCCUGACGGAGCAACGCCGCGUGAGUGAUGAAGGUCUUCGGAUCGUAAAACUCUGUUAUUAGGGAAGAACAAAUGUGUAAGUAACUAUGCACGUCUUGACGGUACCUAAUCAGAAAGCCACGGCUAACUACGUG
rnacentral:rRNA from 1 species